rnacentral:rRNA from 1 species
UACGAGGGGAGCAAGCGUUGUUCGGAUUUACUGGGCGUAAAGGGCGCGUAGGCGGCCACGACAAGUCACUUGUGAAAUCUCCGGGCUUAACUCGGAACGGUCAAGUGAUACUGUCGGGCUAGAGUACAGAAGGGGCAACUGGAAUUCUCGGUGUAGCGGUGAAAUGCGUAGAUAUGAGAGGAACACCUGCGGCGAAGGCGGGUUGCUGGGCUGAUACUGACGCUGAUGCGCGAAAGCCAGGGGAGCGAACGGG